CAUUCUCCGAGAUGAAGAUGAGGCACCACCAAGAGACACUCUGCAGAGGAGCUCCCAACUUUGGGAAGAACAAGGUUUGGGAUUUUAGCUCUGCUUUCAAUCUUUUUCAGAACAAGAGGAUACAAACCAAAACAAGACAUAAUAGAGACAUGCAGGAAGUGGAAACGAUACACACCACCAUGUGAACCUAGGAGAGAUCAACAUACAAUUUACAUAAGUCACCGUAAACAAGCUUUGGGUGGAACUGAGGCAAGAAAAGAAUGGCAGUGUGUUGCUGCGACUUCCCUGUGUAUAAAAUAAUUUCUGUGCUCUUGCACAAGCAGAAGACAAGUGACGGAAAGCAACAGGGACAGGCCCUUGCAAGGGAUGCCCAUGCCCAGUAACCAGGUUGGCCAGUUCAGUGACAGAAGAUGUAUGUGCGGUUUCAGGCAGAUCCCUUCAAGACAGAUUUCAGAAGUACCUACAUGCCCAAGGAAAUAAAUAGCCGUGAGUACUUUGUGUAGGAAAUGAACAUCUUCAUACAUUUGAAAAUCCUACUUGGCACCACAGCAGCCGUUUGAC
ensembl:lncRNA